UUAAGCGACUAAGCGUACACGGUGGAUGCCCUGGCAGUCAGAGGCGAUGAAGGACGUGCUAAUCUGCGAUAAGCGUCGGUAAGGUGAUAUGAACCGUUAUAACCGGCGAUUUCCGAAUGGGGAAACCCAGUGUGUUUCGACACACUAUCAUUAACUGAAUCCAUAGGUUAAUGAGGCGAACCGGGGGAACUGAAACAUCUAAGUACCCCGAGGAAAAGAAAUCAACCGAGAUUCCCCCAGUAGCGGCGAGCGAACGGGGAGGAGCCCAGAGCCUGAAUCAGUGUGUGUGUUAGUGGAAGCGUCUGGAAAGGCGCGCGAUACAGGGUGACAGCCCCGUACACAAAAAUGCACAUAUUGUGAGCUCGAUGAGUAGGGCGGGACACGUGGUAUCCUGUCUGAAUAUGGGGGGACCAUCCUCCAAGGCUAAAUACUCCUGACUGACCGAUAGUGAACCAGUACCGUGAGGGAAAGGCGAAAAGAACCCCGGCGAGGGGAGUGAAAAAGAACCUGAAACCGUGUACGUACAAGCAGUGGGAGCACGCUUCGGCGUGUGACUGCGUACCUUUUGUAUAAUGGGUCAGCGACUUAUAUUCUGUAGCAAGGUUAACCGAAUAGGGGAGCCGAAGGGAAACCGAGUCUUAACUGGGCGUUAAGUUGCAGGGUAUAGACCCGAAACCCGGUGAUCUAGCCAUGGGCAGGUUGAAGGUUGGGUAACACUAACUGGAGGACCGAACCGACUAAUGUUGAAAAAUUAGCGGAUGACUUGUGGCUGGGGGUGAAAGGCCAAUCAAACCGGGAGAUAGCUGGUUCUCCCCGAAAGCUAUUUAGGUAGCGCCUCGUGAAUUCAUCUCCGGGGGUAGAGCACUGUUUCGGCAAGGGGGUCAUCCCGACUUACCAACCCGAUGCAAACUGCGAAUACCGGAGAAUGUUAUCACGGGAGACACACGGCGGGUGCUAACGUCCGUCGUGAAGAGGGAAACAACCCAGACCGCCAGCUAAGGUCCCAAAGUCAUGGUUAAGUGGGAAACGAUGUGGGAAGGCCCAGACAGCCAGGAUGUUGGCUUAGAAGCAGCCAUCAUUUAAAGAAAGCGUAAUAGCUCACUGGUCGAGUCGGCCUGCGCGGAAGAUGUAACGGGGCUAAACCAUGCACCGAAGCUGCGGCAGCGACGCUGAUGCGUUGUUGGGUAGGGGAGCGUUCUGUAAGCCUGCGAAGGUGUGCUGUGAGGCAUGCUGGAGGUAUCAGAAGUGCGAAUGCUGACAUAAGUAACGAUAAAGCGGGUGAAAAGCCCGCUCGCCGGAAGACCAAGGGUUCCUGUCCAACGUUAAUCGGGGCAGGGUGAGUCGACCCCUAAGGCGAGGCCGAAAGGCGUAGUCGAUGGGAAACAGGUUAAUAUUCCUGUACUUGGUGUUACUGCGAAGGGGGGACGGAGAAGGCUAUGUUGGCCGGGCGACGGUUGUCCCGGUUUAAGCGUGUAGGCUGGUUUUCCAGGCAAAUCCGGAAAAUCAAGGCUGAGGCGUGAUGACGAGGCACUACGGUGCUGAAGCAACAAAUGCCCUGCUUCCAGGAAAAGCCUCUAAGCAUCAGGUAACAUCAAAUCGUACCCCAAACCGACACAGGUGGUCAGGUAGAGAAUACCAAGGCGCUUGAGAGAACUCGGGUGAAGGAACUAGGCAAAAUGGUGCCGUAACUUCGGGAGAAGGCACGCUGAUAUGUAGGUGAAGUCCCUCGCGGAUGGAGCUGAAAUCAGUCGAAGAUACCAGCUGGCUGCAACUGUUUAUUAAAAACACAGCACUGUGCAAACACGAAAGUGGACGUAUACGGUGUGACGCCUGCCCGGUGCCGGAAGGUUAAUUGAUGGGGUUAGCGCAAGCGAAGCUCUUGAUCGAAGCCCCGGUAAACGGCGGCCGUAACUAUAACGGUCCUAAGGUAGCGAAAUUCCUUGUCGGGUAAGUUCCGACCUGCACGAAUGGCGUAAUGAUGGCCAGGCUGUCUCCACCCGAGACUCAGUGAAAUUGAACUCGCUGUGAAGAUGCAGUGUACCCGCGGCAAGACGGAAAGACCCCGUGAACCUUUACUAUAGCUUGACACUGAACAUUGAGCCUUGAUGUGUAGGAUAGGUGGGAGGCUUAGAAGUGUGGACGCCAGUCUGCAUGGAGCCGACCUUGAAAUACCACCCUUUAAUGUUUGAUGUUCUAACGUUGACCCGUAAUCCGGGUUGCGGACAGUGUCUGGUGGGUAGUUUGACUGGGGCGGUCUCCUCCUAAAGAGUAACGGAGGAGCACGAAGGUUGGCUAAUCCUGGUCGGACAUCAGGAGGUUAGUGCAAUGGCAUAAGCCAGCUUGACUGCGAGCGUGACGGCGCGAGCAGGUGCGAAAGCAGGUCAUAGUGAUCCGGUGGUUCUGAAUGGAAGGGCCAUCGCUCAACGGAUAAAAGGUACUCCGGGGAUAACAGGCUGAUACCGCCCAAGAGUUCAUAUCGACGGCGGUGUUUGGCACCUCGAUGUCGGCUCAUCACAUCCUGGGGCUGAAGUAGGUCCCAAGGGUAUGGCUGUUCGCCAUUUAAAGUGGUACGCGAGCUGGGUUUAGAACGUCGUGAGACAGUUCGGUCCCUAUCUGCCGUGGGCGCUGGAGAACUGAGGGGGGCUGCUCCUAGUACGAGAGGACCGGAGUGGACGCAUCACUGGUGUUCGGGUUGUCAUGCCAAUGGCACUGCCCGGUAGCUAAAUGCGGAAGAGAUAAGUGCUGAAAGCAUCUAAGCACGAAACUUGCCCCGAGAUGAGUUCUCCCUGACCCUUUAAGGGUCCUGAAGGAACGUUGAAGACGACGACGUUGAUAGGCCGGGUGUGUAAGCGCAGCGAUGCGUUGAGCUAACCGGUACUAAUGAACCGUGAGGCUUAACCUU
rnacentral:rRNA from 1 species